rnacentral:rRNA from 1 species
CCCCGGUAAACGGCGGCCGUAACUAUAACGGUCCUAAGGUAGCGAAAUUCCUUGUCGGGUAAGUUCCGACCUGCACGAAUGGCGUAAUGAUGGCCAGGCUGUCUCCACCCGAGACUCAGUGAAAUUGAACUCGCUGUGAAGAUGCAGUGUACCCGCGGCAAGACGGAAAGACCCCGUGAACCUUUACUAUAGCUUGACACUGAACAUUGAGCCUUGAUGUGUAGGAUAGGUGGGAGGCUUUGAAGUGUGGACGCCAGUCUGCAUGGAGCCGACCUUGAAAUACCACCCUUUAAUGUUUGAUGUUCUAACGUGGACCCGUAAUCCGGGUUGCGGACAGUGUCUGGUGGGUAGUUUGACUGGGGCGGUCUCCUCCUAAAGAGUAACGGAGGAGCACGAAGGUUGGCUAAUCCUGGUCGGACAUCAGGAGGUUAGUGCAAUGGCAUAAGCCAGCUUGACUGCGAGCGUGACGGCGCGAGCAGGUGCGAAAGCAGGUCAUAGUGAUCCGGUGGUUCUGAAUGGAAGGGCCAUCGCUCAACGGAUAAAAGGUACUCCGGGGAUAACAGGCUGAUACCGCCCAAGAGUUCAUAUCGACGGCGGUGUUUGGCACCUCGAUGUCGGCUCAUCACAUCCUGGGGCUGAAGUAGGUCCCAAGGGUAUGGCUGUUCGCCAUUUAAAGUGGUACGCGAGCUGGGUUUAGAACGUCGUGAGACAGUUCGGUCCCUAUCUGCCGUGGGCGCUGGAGAACUGAGGGGGGCUGCUCCUAGUACGAGAGGACCGGAGUGGACGCAUCACUGGUGUUCGGGUUGUCAUGCCAAUGGCACUGCCCGGUAGCUAAAUGCGGAAGAGAUAAGUGCUGAAAGCAUCU